GGUUAAGCGACUAAGCGUACACGGUGGAUGCCCUGGCAGUCAGAGGCGAUGAAGGGCGUGCUAAUCUGCGAUAAGCGCCGGUAAGGUGAUAUGAACCGUUAUAACCGGCGAUACCCGAAUGGGGAAACCCAGUGUGACUCGUCACACUAUCAUUAACUGAAUCCAUAGGUUAAUGAGGCGAACCGGGGGAACUGAAACAUCUAAGUACCCCGAGGAAAAGAAAUCAACCGAGAUUCCCCCAGUAGCGGCGAGCGAACGGGGAGGAGCCCAGAGCCUGAAUCAGCAUGUGUGUUAGUGGAAGCGUCUGGAAAGGCGCGCGAUACAGGGUGACAGCCCCGUACACAAAAGCGCAUGUGCUGUGAGCUCGAUGAGUAGGGCGGGACACGUGGUAUCCUGUCUGAAUAUGGGGGGACCAUCCUCCAAGGCUAAAUACUCCUGACUGACCGAUAGUGAACCAGUACCGUGAGGGAAAGGCGAAAAGAACCCCGGCGAGGGGAGUGAAAAAGAACCUGAAACCGUGUACGUACAAGCAGUGGGAGCACAGGUUUACCUGUGUGACUGCGUACCUUUUGUAUAAUGGGUCAGCGACUUAUAUUCUGUAGCAAGGUUAACCGUAUAGGGGAGCCGUAGGGAAACCGAGUCUUAACCGGGCGUUAAGUUGCAGGGUAUAGACCCGAAACCCGGUGAUCUAGCCAUGGGCAGGUUGAAGGUUGGGUAACACUAACUGGAGGACCGAACCGACUAAUGUUGAAAAAUUAGCGGAUGACCUGUGGCUGGGGGUGAAAGGCCAAUCAAACCGGGAGAUAGCUGGUUCUCCCCGAAAGCUAUUUAGGUAGCGCCUCGUGAAUUCAUCUCCGGGGGUAGAGCACUGUUUCGGCUAGGGGGCCAUCCCGGCUUACCAACCCGAUGCAAACUGCGAAUACCGGAGAAUGUUAUCACGGGAGACACACGGCGGGUGCUAACGUCCGUCGUGAAGAGGGAAACAACCCAGACCGCCAGCUAAGGUCCCAAAGUCAUGGUUAAGUGGGAAACGAUGUGGGAAGGCCCAGACAGCCAGGAUGUUGGCUUAGAAGCAGCCAUCAUUUAAAGAAAGCGUAAUAGCUCACUGGUCGAGUCGGCCUGCGCGGAAGAUGUAACGGGGCUAAACCAUGCACCGAAGCUGCGGCAGCGAACGUAUCACUUAAAGCGAUUCAGCGGGUUACGAUUGACGGAGCGAAGCGACGUCAAAGCGUAUACAAAGUCGAGUCGGUUUAAGGAUACGUUCGUUGGGUAGGGGAGCGUUCUGUAAGCCUGCGAAGGUGGCCUGUGAGGGUUGCUGGAGGUAUCAGAAGUGCGAAUGCUGACAUAAGUAACGAUAAAGCGGGUGAAAAGCCCGCUCGCCGGAAGACCAAGGGUUCCUGUCCAACGUUAAUCGGGGCAGGGUGAGUCGACCCCUAAGGCGAGGCCGAAAGGCGUAGUCGAUGGGAAACGGGUUAAUAUUCCCGUACUUGGUGUUACUGCGAAGGGGGGACGGAGAAGGCUAUGUUGGCCGGGCGACGGUUGUCCCGGUUUAAGCGUGUAGGUGUGUGUUCCAGGUAAAUCCGGUUCACUUUAACACUGAGGCGUGACGACGAGGCACUACGGUGCUGAAGCAACAAAUGCCCUGCUUCCAGGAAAAGCCUCUAAGCAUCAGGUAACAUCAAAUCGUACCCCAAACCGACACAGGUGGUCAGGUAGAGAAUACCAAGGCGCUUGAGAGAACUCGGGUGAAGGAACUAGGCAAAAUGGUGCCGUAACUUCGGGAGAAGGCACGCUGACACGUAGGUGAAGUGAUUUACUCAUGGAGCUGAAGUCAGUCGAAGAUACCAGCUGGCUGCAACUGUUUAUUAAAAACACAGCACUGUGCAAACACGAAAGUGGACGUAUACGGUGUGACGCCUGCCCGGUGCCGGAAGGUUAAUUGAUGGGGUCAGCGCAAGCGAAGCUCCUGAUCGAAGCCCCGGUAAACGGCGGCCGUAACUAUAACGGUCCUAAGGUAGCGAAAUUCCUUGUCGGGUAAGUUCCGACCUGCACGAAUGGCGUAAUGAUGGCCAGGCUGUCUCCACCCGAGACUCAGUGAAAUUGAACUCGCUGUGAAGAUGCAGUGUACCCGCGGCAAGACGGAAAGACCCCGUGAACCUUUACUAUAGCUUGACACUGAACAUUGAGCCUUGAUGUGUAGGAUAGGUGGGAGGCUUUGAAGCGUGGACGCCAGUCUGCGUGGAGCCGACCUUGAAAUACCACCCUUUAAUGUUUGAUGUUCUAACGUGGACCCGUGAUCCGGGUUGCGGACAGUGUCUGGUGGGUAGUUUGACUGGGGCGGUCUCCUCCUAAAGAGUAACGGAGGAGCACGAAGGUUGGCUAAUCCUGGUCGGACAUCAGGAGGUUAGUGCAAUGGCAUAAGCCAGCUUGACUGCGAGCGUGACGGCGCGAGCAGGUGCGAAAGCAGGUCAUAGUGAUCCGGUGGUUCUGAAUGGAAGGGCCAUCGCUCAACGGAUAAAAGGUACUCCGGGGAUAACAGGCUGAUACCGCCCAAGAGUUCAUAUCGACGGCGGUGUUUGGCACCUCGAUGUCGGCUCAUCACAUCCUGGGGCUGAAGUAGGUCCCAAGGGUAUGGCUGUUCGCCAUUUAAAGUGGUACGCGAGCUGGGUUUAGAACGUCGUGAGACAGUUCGGUCCCUAUCUGCCGUGGGCGCUGGAGAACUGAGGGGGGCUGCUCCUAGUACGAGAGGACCGGAGUGGACGCAUCACUGGUGUUCGGGUUGUCAUGCCAAUGGCACUGCCCGGUAGCUAAAUGCGGAAGAGAUAAGUGCUGAAAGCAUCUAAGCACGAAACUUGCCCCGAGAUGAGUUCUCCCUGAGACUUAGAGUCUCCUGAAGGAACGUUGAAGACGACGACGUUGAUAGGCCGGGUGUGUAAGCGCAGCGAUGCGUUGAGCUAACCGGUACUAAUGAACCGUGAGGCUUAACCUUAC
rnacentral:rRNA from 1 species